AACGAACGCUGGCGGCAUGCCUAACACAUGCAAGUCGAACGAGAUCUUCGGGUCUAGUGGCGCACGGGUGCGUAACGCGUGGGAAUCUGCCCUUUGGUUCGGAAUAACAGUUGGAAACGACUGCUAAUACCGGAUGAUGACGAAAGUCCAAAGAUUUAUCGCCAGAGGAUGAGCCCGCGUGGGAUUAGCUAGUUGGUGUGGUAAAGGCGCACCAAGGCGACGAUCCUUAGCUGGUCUGAGAGGAUGAUCAGCCACACUGGGACUGAGACACGGCCCAGACUCCUACGGGAGGCAGCAGUGGGGAAUAUUGGAAAAUGGGCGAAAGCCUGAUCCAGCAAUGCCGCGUGAGUGAUGAAGGCCUUAGGGUUGUAAAGCUCUUUUACCCGGGAUGAUAAUGACAGUACCGGGAGAAUAAGCUCCGGCUAACUCCGUGCCAGCAGCCGCCGUAA
rnacentral:rRNA from 1 species